CCAGGGAGCAAGAGAGGCUGCCCAGCCGGGUGGCUCUGCUGCGGUUAUUAUCACAAAGCACGUGUGUGUUGAAGACAACUUAGAUCACUGCUACCUGGGAGUUCCUGGUAAUCCUGGUGCGAACCUUCAAGAAGGCAGCAGGCAGAAAGACAUGAACCAGCAGAUGAAGAGAAGGGCUGGGACGAGAGGCCAGGGCGGACGAGCGCCCGCGGGAGCUAAACCAAGGCCACACCAGGUCACCCAGGGCCCCGCGGCAGCAAUGGAGCCUCUCUGUGCAACCUGGGCCCCGCGUGACAAAGGUGCCUGCCCUGAACCGAGUCCCCAAGACAGUGGAGACAAAGAUUUCCCCGACUGCUACAUAGAAUGCAUCAUAACAGGUCAGUUUUCCGAACCCAUCCUGGAAGAAGAUUUACUCUUUAGCUCCUUCAAAGAGCUAAGCGAAGAUUCAGAAGAAAGCCUUUCUCAACAGGUUUUUGCAGCCAGCUCCCUCAUUGGGUGUUCUUGGGAAUACAUGAAAAGUGGAGCGAAACAAAAGCCGCCGCCACAGAUGGGGUAUUCGGAGUACCUGACGGGCAAGAAGUUUCCUGCUGGAGGAAUUCCUGGCCUUGACCUGGCGGACCCUAAACAGCUCAGCGAAUUUGCUACAAAGAGGAGCCCCCACAGUCAAGACCAGGGCGCUCCAAAUACAUUGGAUUGUCCCCACAGUGGAUGCACAAGGAAGCUGAGGGACAAAACCGCCCUGCGGAAGCACCUGGUGGUGCACCGGCCCCGAGACCACGUGUGCGCGGAGUGCGGGCGCGCGUUCUCCGAGCGCUCCAAGCUCGCCCGGCACUUCCUGGUGCACACGGGCGAGAAGCCCUUCCGGUGCACCUUCGCCGGCUGCGGGAAGCGCUUCUCCCUCGACUUCAACCUGCGCACACACGUGCGCAUCCACACCGGGGAGAAGCGCUUCGCGUGUCCCUUCCAGGGCUGCGACAAGAGGUUUGUGCAGUCCAACAACCUCAAAACCCACAUUGUAACUCACGCCAAGAUGAGAAAUAAACACUGAAAGCAGACACGGACGGGGUCGUCCGACAGGAUGAGCAGGACGAGCAUAAGCAGUGAUCGGAGAAGCACUGCAGCGGUAACAGGCGCAUUUUCAGCUUUGCUCGUUGCUCCAUACCUUGUGAUACCAUUUUAAGAACGUCGCCAACGGAAAGAAAGAAAACAUUGCGAAGGCUGUGAGAGGGAGAAGGCAAAUAGAAGCAAUGGAAAGUGAAAAAAAGGGAAAAGAAGUGUAUUUAAUGAGAAAUCCCACUUUAAAUCUUCCCACAUUAGUAUGGCAAAUAAAAAUGAACAUGAUGUAAAACACAUGUCCAGGGAAAACUGAGAAGUAAAUCCAUCUAGAUUGUCUCAUGUUGGCAGGUACUGGCACGUAACCAGCCCCAAAUCUGGAGGAAUGAAUAAAUCUCUGUGUUUCGUGUUGACACUUAACUUUAUUCUCAAGUUCUUUCCUUUUAUAAUGACCAAAUAUCAAUACUGGGAAGUUCACACUAGAAAAAUGUUCUCUACAAAACACUGAAUAUUGUCAUACAUAUAUUACUCAUCAGCAUAUUGCUUUGAUAUAGUGAAAGGAUACUAUCAUUAAGUGAUUAAGAAAACCCUUAUAUCACCUUCCCUUUUUUUUAAGAAGGGGUCUUGCUGUGUAGUUCAGACUGGUCUUGAACUAACUGUGUAGCU